AUUGAACGCUGGCGGCAGGCCUAACACAUGCAAGUCGAGCGAGCGGCGGACGGGUGAGUAAUGUCUGGGAAACUGCCUGAUGGAGGGGGAUAACUACUGGAAACGGUAGCUAAUACCGCAUACCAUCAGAUGUGCCCAGGUGGAAGUAGCUCGUAGGUGGGGUAACGGCUAACCUAGGCGACGAACCCUAGCUGGUCUGAGAGGCUGACCAGCCACACGUGAGCUGAGACACGGUCCAGGCUCGUACGGGAGGCAGCAGUGGGGAAUAUUGCACAAUGGGCGCAAGCCUGAUGCAGACAUGCCGCAUGUGUGAAGAAGGCCUUCGGGUGAGAAAGCAUUUUCAGCGGGGAGGCGUUGCCCGCAGAGAAAGCACCGGCUAACUACGUGCCAGCAGCCGCGGUAAUAC
rnacentral:rRNA from 1 species